CCUACGGGAGGCAGCAGUGGGGAAUUUUGGACAAUGGGCGCAAGCCUGAUCCAGCUAUUCCGCGUGUGGGAUGAAGGCCCUCGGGUUGUAAACCACUUUUGUAGAGAACGAAAAGACACCUUUUAAUAAAAGGUGUUGCUGACGGUACUCUAAGGAUAAGCACCGGCUAACUACGUGCCAGCAGCCGCGGUAAUGCGUAGGGUGCGAGCGUUAAGCGGAAUGACUGGGCGUAAAGGGUGCGCAGGCGGUUGGGUAAGACAGUUGGGAAAUCCCCGGGCUUAACUUGGGAAUGGCAAAUGUGACUGCUCGACUAGAGUGUGUCAGAGGCAGGUGGAAUUCCACGUGUAGCAGUGAAAUGCGUAGAUAUGUGGAAGAACACCGAUGGCGAAGGC
rnacentral:rRNA from 1 species